AAAUACUUAAAUUAAUAGAUGAUUGAUGCAAUUAACCGUCUUUAGGAUGAGGAAAAGAAGCCAUAUUGGGUGGGCAAUAAAAUUUUCAAUGCGCUUCUCUCUACCAAAGCGAUUUUAUACAAUGGUCUUUAGGAUAUGAAGAAAUGGUUAAAGCACUUUUUGAUCUACAUGGCCAUCUUUGGUCUGGAUUGUUUUCUGCUUGGGUCACUACAGCUUUUGGGAUACUAGGGGAGAUUUGGGGUGGCUUGUCGUCGGGUUUGAGGAUCUUAGCUCAACCUAGAAGGCACAAGAGAGAAGUCAAAGAGUCAGUCACCUCUCACCCCCGAUUUCUGGUGUUUUUCGGCAAGGUUUAGUACUGUCCAUGGCAUUGUGCUUCUUCUUUGUUCUUGGGUCAUAAUGGUUUGCUCAGCAAUUGAGGAGUAUGCUUGUGUGGGGAAUUCUUGUGUGGGGAAUUUUCCUCUGUAGGCAUUGGCCAAUUUUUGUUCCCUUGCACUCCAUUUUGCUGGAAACUUCCUUGGUUGGAUCUGCUUGUGAAUGGUUGGGCGGUGGCGGCAGUUCCUGUGCUUCGGGUCUCUCUUUUGCUAUAGGUCUCCCAAAUGGGCUGCAGGGAAAGGAUUUCUCUUUGUUUUCUGACCUUUUCUCUACCACUGGGCUAGGCAGCCAAUUAGGGCCUAUUUUGGUUACUCAUGUAGUGGUUCUAUUUGGGCUAAUGAAGUGUUGUAUUGGAUUGAAAUCAGACUUUUAGCCUUAUGUUGUAAUCAUGAUUCUAAAUGAGUCCUUUGUUAUGUAUUGGGCUCUAAACCUUUUAUGUAAUGUAAUUUGCCUAUUGACCAAAAAAAAAUUAUUCUAUUUA